rnacentral:rRNA from 1 species
GAUGAACGCUGGCGGCGUGCUUAACACAUGCAAGUCGAACGGAAAGGCCCUAGCUUGCUGGGGUACUCGAGUGGCGAACGGGUGAGUAACACGUGGGUGAUCUGCCCUGCACUUUGGGAUAAGCUUGGGAAACUGGGUCUAAUACCGAAUAUGACCACUUCUUGGAUGUUGUGGUGGAAAGCUUUUGCGGUGUGGGAUGAGCCUGCGGCCUAUUAGCUUGUUGGUGGGGUAAUGGCCUACCAAGGCGGCGACGGGUAUCCGGCCUGAGAGGGUGUACGGACACAUUGGGACUGAGAUACGGCCCAGACUCCUACGGGAGGCAGCAGUGGGGAAUAUUGCACAAUGGGCGCAAGCCUGAUGCAGCGACGCCGCGUGGGGGAUGAAGGCCUUCGGGUUGUAAACUCCUUUCGCUAUCGACGAAGCCACUUGUGGUGACGGUAGGUAGAUAAGAAGCACCGGCUAACUACGUGCCAGCCGCCGCCGUAA